rnacentral:rRNA from 1 species
UACGGGGGGUGCGAGCGUUGUCCGGAAUCACUGGGCGUAAAGGGCGCGUAGGUGGCUUGGCAAGCGCGUGGUGAAAGCCCGGGGCUCAACCCCGGGUCUGCCGUGCGAACUGCUAUGGCUUGAGCACUGUAGAGGCAGGUAGAAUUCCGGGUGUAGCGGUGGAAUGCGUAGAGAUCCGGAAGUAUACCGGUGGCGAAGGCGGCCUGCUGGGCAGUGGCUGACACUGAGGCGCGACAGCGUGGGGAGCAAACAGG